UGGGGAAUAUUGCGCAAUGGGGGAAACCCUGACGCAGCAACGCCGCGUGGAGGAUGAAGGCCCUCGGGUCGUAAACUCCUGUCAGAGAAGACGAACGGCGGAGUGGCUAAUACCCACUUCGUUUGACGGUACUCUCAAAGGAAGCUCCGGCUAACUCCGUGCCAGCAGCCGCGGUAAGACGGAGGGAGCAAGCGUUGCUCGGAAUUACUGGGCGUAAAGGGCGUGUAGGCGGGACGGCAAGUCGGGUGUGAAAGCCCUGGGCUCAACCCAGGAAGUGCAUUCGAUACUACUGUUCUUGAGUGUGGUAGAGGAGAGCGGAAUUCCCAGUGUAGCGGUGAAAUGCGUAGAUAUUGGGAAGAACAUCUGUGGCGAAGGCGGCUCUCUGGGCCACUACUGACGCUGAGGCGCGAAAGCUAGGGGAGCAAACAGGAUUAGAUACCCUGGUAGUCCUAGCUGUAAACGAUGGGCACUAGGCGCGGGAGGUGUUGACCCCCUCCGUGCCGCAGCUAACGCGAUAAGUGCCCCGCCUGGGGAGUACGGCCGCAAGGCUA
rnacentral:rRNA from 1 species